UGGAGAUGUAGCUCAGUGGUAGAGCACUUGCCUAGCAGGCAUGAGGCUGGGAUUCCAUCCCAGACACUACAA
rnacentral:tRNA from 1 species